rnacentral:miRNA from 1 species
UCCAAUAGGUCUAGCAUGUGC